rnacentral:lncRNA from 1 species
UUGUGGUGGCUGAGUCGUGAGCUCACUCCCCAUGUCUGAUCUGAUUUGUGUUUCUUUGUUUUCUUUUAGACCCUGGAGUAAGUGACCUGUAAAUAGUCACACUGGAGGUUUUCUAAAGGCCUUCCUUGCUUCUGUGACAGUGUAUGGACAUUGACAUUGGGAAGCCCAGCAGACAAAAGACGGAGAAUAGGGACCACCACAGCUAAAGAAGAGAGAGAAGAAUAUGCCAUGGCUGAGGGGAUGAUUGCUUCUCAAAGUGAACC